rnacentral:lncRNA from 1 species
CACGAGCAGCUGCACUCACUGAAUUUGAUCAUUCUUGCUAGCUUUAGAGCACGUGUGCUUCUACUAGACCUCCAAAAUGUUUACAGUAAGGCCGCAGUGUAUCUUAUAGCUCAGUUAUUGGCUGUCUGUUCAGCUACGUGCUUGCAAACCACCACUAGAACUACUAGAGGUGUGAGUAACCAGCAGCCAAGUAAGAAUGAUAUAGAAGCCCUAUGGCAAUGAAAGGCUGAACCACAGCCAUCCCACUCACCUCCUUUGCAGGCUUCCCAUGAAAACAGCUUGGUGAUGGGAAAACUUUAACUAUUUUGCUGCACUUCUGUUUCUGUGUGGGAAAAGAACCAUACUUGUCGUGAUCUUCUAGAAGGUAGAGUGGUGGCUUCAGGCUGGACAGGCACCUGCUGUGUGCUUUGUUCAUGAGCUCCUGCAGAGCUGGUGUUGUCUUUAGGGCAUGCAGAACUGCAACUCUGUAAUGCAGAAGCUGGGCUGCACUCAGUGCGGGCUGGUUAUUAGAUGAAACAGAAGAGCUGUGCUUACAGGGUGAGAAAGCUACUCCUCGCUGCUUCCUCAUAGUCCUAAUGCUCAAAGCAGCCUGUUCUCAUCUUUCUGUGGGCUGGAAUCCCACACUUUGCAGCCUUGCCUCUAGUUUCUUGGAGGGAAAAUUCCUACAUGCACAACUAACCUUUUGACCCCUGUAAUUGGAAAACAUGGAUGGAAUACCACUCUGGCACAGGAGUCUAGGCUAAGACUGCAAUAAUAUUAUUGUUAAAUUGCAAAUUUUGUGCUUCAGUGUACAAACGUCUGGAAGAAGUUCCCUCCCACCCUGGAAUCAGAACUAGCUCUGCUAUUACUCAAGUCUAAACAUGAUAAAUUAAGGCCAGAAAGUAGUUUUGACUGUGCAAGCAGUGUGGGUGGACCAGCAAGGAUCAUAAAACCUACUGGUUUUAAGACUGACUUUAUGAUAAAGGUCUGAAUGCAGCAGUCAGGCUGCCAGCAAAAUCUGCCUGCAAUCACUGACAGUUCCUGGCAGUGAAAGGUAGGAACUCUUAUCGCAAAGCUGGUGGACCUGAGCAGCAAGGUAAAUUCUAAUGAGGUCUUUUAAGGAAGCUUGAAUUUUUUAAACUCACUUCACAGAAUUUUCUGGUUUUAAACACCCCAGGAAAAGACGGAUUGUUUCUAGGUUUGCAAAAACCACACACUGCAGUGCUGAGGGAAUUUAGCAUCCAAAGCCAAGUGCAUGGUCUUCUGCUCACAAGCAGCCAGUUACAGUACACAGAUAAUGACCACAGCAAAGCCCAUCGCUGAAGGGGUGCUGCAGUCUCAGUUACUGAAUGCAGGCUUUAAUUUCUGCAUCAGGUCAGAGACAUUAUCAUCUUCCAGCUGCAGUUUUCACAGAGAGGAAAAAAAAGAAAAGGAACAUCACCUGUCAACUCUUAUACCCAGAAGUGACUCAGUUGCUGUAAUAGGAUAAAGUGUGAGAUUCAUACUUAUUUAAACAUACUGAACUCUACCUUAGUAGUAUGCAUUCCUUUUAUUUAAAAAGUUGUUCUAGUAGUGCAUGUUGCACCUAUACAAAAGUAUUUUUACACUGUCCACACACAGGUAUAUAAGGGCUCCAACAGCUGCCACAAUUCUCAGCUAGAUUGUGUGCUAAUGCAGCAUUCUUGGUACGUGGCCUCUAGGCUGAGGGGAUGGGGCAGAAGUCAGCAGUACUGGGAACUCUUGGCAAGUGGAAUGUGUGUCCCCUGAGGGACAGUAAGACCCCUGCCAAUCCUAGAUCCAUCUGGGGAGAGGAGUGGGGACAAAGUCUGUAGGAAGAGCACCAGUGUCACAAGAGGAAGUUUACCAGGCUGGAGCAGUGUUGGCCAAGCGUCUCAUACGCCUUGUAUUUCUGUCCUGGUCUCUGAUCUUCUUCUCCAUCUCCGCAUCUGUGAGGGUUUCCAGAAGAGGGCACCACUGGUCGGCAUCCCCCGUGUUGCGAAUCGCGAUUUCCACAGUCGGCAAAGGGUUCUCACUGAAGGCGUAUGUCUUCUGAUGCCAGCUCAGCUGUCCCCGGAUGCUGUAGGCAAUAGUAGUGACAAACUCCCCACCCAGGCCAAG